AGCCUGCAAAAGGCUGUUUCUGACAUUACUCAUUGCUUUGAUUGGAGGAGAGUUGCAGCAGUGAAAUCUCAGCCCAUUUUGACCCGGAUGACCACAGGGUUGCUGGGUGCGUGCAGCUGUGUCCACUCCUGGGGUAGGUGAGGGAGUGACCGUUUCCGUGCCAAAAUCUGCUGCUCCUGACAGUGACCUCCCUGGAGCAAACAGCAGUGGAGUCAGUCGAUCGACCCUUGGAGCUGUUCUCAUGGAGGUUUAUGUAGCAUGCUUGGCCCAUUUACCUUGCAGUACCUUAUACUGGCUCAAAAACCGGACCUUAUACUGGCA
rnacentral:lncRNA from 1 species